AUAACUUAGUGGCGGACGGGUGAGUAACGCCCGUGGAACCUGCCCUGCACCGGGGGAUAACACCUGGAAACAGGUGCUAAUACCGCAUAAGCGCACGAGGCCGCAUGGCCAGGUGUGAAAAACUAAGGUGGUGCAGGAUGGACCCGCGUCUGAUUAGCUUGUUGGUAGGGUAACGGCCUACCAAGGCGACGAUCAGUAGCCGGCCUGAGAGGGUGAACGGCCACAUUGGGACUGAGACACGGCCCAAACUCCUACGGGAGGCAGCAGUGGGGAAUAUUGGACAAUGGGGGAAACCCUGAUCCAGCGACGCCGCGUGAGUGAAGAAGUAUUUCGGUAUGUAAAGCUCUAUCAGCAGGGAAGAAAAUGACGGUACCUGACUAAGAAGCCCCGGCUAACUACGUGCCAGCAGCCGCGGUAAUACGUAGGGGGCAAGCGUUAUCCGGAUUUACUGGGUGUAAAGGGAGCGUAGACGGCAUAGCAAGUCUGAUGUGAAAGAUCGGGGCUCAACCCCGGGCCUGCAUUGGAAACUGUUAAGCUGGAGUACAGGAGAGGUAAGCGGAAUUCCUA
rnacentral:rRNA from 1 species